rnacentral:rRNA from 1 species
UACGAAGGGGGCUAGCGUUGCUCGGAGUCACUGGGCGUACAGGGUGCGUAGGCGGGUCUUUAAGUCAGGGGUGAAAUCCUGGAGCUCAACUCCAGAACUGCCUUUGAUACUGAGGAUCUUGAGUUCGGGAGAGGUGAGUGGAACUGCGAGUGUAGAGGUGAAAUUCGUAGAUAUUCGCAAGAACACCAGUGGCGAAGGCGGCUCACUGGCCCGAUACUGACGCUGAGGCACGAAAGCGUGGGGAGCAAACGGG